GAGAGAAGAAAUCAAUCAGUAAAUCAUAAUCCUCCAACUGACUACACCAAGUCAUUGAAUCGAAUUAGGGUCAUGCUGAUUGAAAUGGCACCUAGAUCAGUCACAUUGAUUAACCUUAAUGGCAUAGGUUAACUCAAAUCACUUAGCGAUCUAAUCAAAAUAUAAUUCAUCAAAUUGGCUAAGUGAGUGAGAUCGAUAGGAGGGUCUGCUAAGUUUGCCUUAGACACCAUUGAAAUGGUCAGGUAAGCCGCUCUCAAUUAAAAACCAUC
rnacentral:lncRNA from 1 species